AUGACCGGCACCUCCGCUGCUUCCCUUUCCGACACCGCCGGCACUCUCUUCUCUGUCAACGCCGGCACCCUCGCCGUCAGCUCCAGCUCCUCCACCCCGGUCUCCGUCGACUCGCUCGGCAGCCUCAUCACGCUGCGCCUCACGUGGGAAAAUUUCCUGCUGUGGAAGACUCAGGCCGUCCCCGUGCUCGACGCGAACAGCCUGUUCGGCUACGUCGCCGGCACUGAGCAAGCGCCGCCGCACACCAUCACGGAGGGCACCGGCGAUGCAGCCAUCGAGGUGGCCAACCCGGAGGUCCUUCGCUGGUACCAGCAGGAUCAACUUGUCAUGAUCGCUCUCCUCGGAUCCAUAACCAAGGACAUCCUUGGUCAGAUGACGCAACUGACCACCUCCGCCGCUAUUUGGACUGCACCCCAUGACAUGUUUGCGUGGCAAAACCGUGCCCGCAUCAUGCAGCUAAGGUACCAGCUCUCAAACCUGAAGAAGAAAGACCUCUCUGCCUCGGACUACUAUCGCAAGAUGAAGGGAUUCGCCGAUGCGAUGGCGUCCAUCGGCAAGCCCCUUUCCGAUGAUGAAGUGCUCGGCUACAUGUUGGCUGGGCUGGGCUCCGAGUUCGAGCCACUGGUCGCGUCGAUCACGACGCGUGACGACCCUGUAAGUCUCAGCAGUUUUUAUGCAUUCCUCCUUAGCGCUGAGCUCCGCCUCGAGCAGCAAGCCUUGCAUGGCGAGAUACAUCCUUCUGCCAACACUGUUGCACGUGGUCCUGAUGGUCACCGUGGUGGACAUGGUGCACGUGCUGGCCAAGGAGGACAAGGUGGCCAAGGCCGUGGCCAAGGCGGGCGUGGCCGCGGCAACGGUGGUAACAGCCGCUCCAACCUGAAGUGUCAGGUCUGCUCCAAGUACGGCCACGACGCGCUUCACUGCCGCAACUGCUUCAAUCACGCGUACCAACCUGAGGACCAGCGUGAGCGCUUAGGCAACGUCGCCAACACCAGCUCCGGCGGAUACAUCGUCGACAUGGACUGGUACGCUGACACGGGUGCUACGGAUCACCUGACCAGUGACCUCGACCGCCUCGCCGUCCAUGAGCACUACGGCGGCAAGGACAAGGUGCAUGCCGCAAACAGGGCAGGACCGAGCAACGAAGGCAGUUCUUCUUCGCGGUAG
rnacentral:rRNA from 1 species